rnacentral:rRNA from 1 species
GAUGAACGCUGGCGGCGUGCUUAACACAUGCAAGUCGAACGAAGCACUCUAUUUGAUUUUCUUCGGAAAUGAAGAUUUUGUGACUGAGUGGCGGACGGGUGAGUAACGCGUGGGUAACCUGCCUCAUACAGGGGGAUAACAGUUGGAAACGACUGCUAAUACCGCAUAAGCGCACAGGAUCGCAUGAUCCGGUGUGAAAAACUCCGGUGGUAUGAGAUGGACCCGCGUCUGAUUAGCCAGUUGGCAGGGUGACGGCCUACCAAAGCGACGAUCAGUAGCCGACCUGAGAGGGUGACCGGCCACAUUGGGACUGAGACACGGCCCAAACUCCUACGGGAGGCAGCAGUGGGGAAUAUUGCACAAUGGGGGAAACCCUGAUGCAGCGACGCCGCGUGAGCGAAGAAGUAUUUCGGUAUGUAAAGCUCUAUCAGCAGGGAA